rnacentral:rRNA from 1 species
GACGAACGCUGGCGGCGUGCUUAACACAUGCAAGUCGAACGAAGAGCGAUGGAAGCUUGCUUCUAUCAAUCUUAGUGGCGAACGGGUGAGUAACGCGUAAUCAACCUGCCCUUCAGAGGGGGACAACAGUUGGAAACGACUGCUAAUACCGCAUACGAUCUAAUCUCGGCAUCGAGGAUAGAUGAAAGGUGGCCUCUACAUGUAAGCUAUCACUGAAGGAGGGGAUUGCGUCUGAUUAGCUAGUUGGAGGGGUAACGGCCCACCAAGGCGAUGGUCAGUAGCCGGUCUGAGAGGAUGAACGGCCACAUUGGGACUGAGACACGGCCCAGACUCCUACGGGAGGCAGCAGUGGGGAAUCUUCCGCAAUGGACGAAAGUCUGACGGAGCAACGCCGCGGGAGCGAUGACGGCCUUCGGGUUGUAAAGCUCUGUUAAUCGGGACGAAAGGCCUUCUUGCGAAUAGUGAGAAGGAUUGACGGUACCGGAAUAGAAAGCCACGGCUAACUACGUG